GGGGCUGAUGGAGCUGUGGGAGUGGCAGGCAACCUCCAGCAGAAGCCAGCAGGCCUGCUAGUUGUUUGGAGAGUGGGUGUCUGGCUGUAUUGCAGCACAGGACUGCACACGGCUCUGCCAGCAACAAACCAGUUUAAACUCUUUUUGUUUGGUUGAAGAGCUUGUGUGUCUCAUGUUUCUCUACAGAAAGUUUGACUGCCAUCUGAUCUGACACAUCUAUACUUGUAUCAGCGCUUGUAAGGUUUGGUUAUUUUUUUGUUUUCUGGAGCAGUUGUCCCUGUCACCUGCCUGACUUGACUGGGUCUCACCGUGUAGCAGCCGUUUCCCAUCCACAGUACUGGAGUCAAUUUUGGACAUGCAAUAUCAAAACACCUUCUUAUGGUGGCUUGAGUCUUGACAGGAGAGGAGACCAUGCUGGACUACCUCAGCAUCCUCAGGGCAGUGGCACUAACUGUGUUGGAAGGCACCACUGCAGAC
ensembl:lncRNA